ACGCCGCGCCGCGCCGGCGCCGGGCGGCAGGAUGGGCUGUAUCCAAAGCAUCACCUGCAAGGCGCGGAUCCGGCGAGAGAACAUCGUGGUGUACGAUGUGUGCGCCACCAUCGACCAGUGCCCCACGCGCAUCGAGGAGACCUCGCCCAUCGUCCUGCGCUACAAGACCCCCUACUUCAAAGCCUCAGCCCGCGUGGUCAUGCCCCCCAUCCCCCGCCACGAGACCUGGGUGGUGGGCUGGAUCCAGGCGUGCAACCAGAUGGAGUUCUUCAACACCUACAGCGACCUGGGCAUGUCAAGCUGGGAACUGCCUGACUUGAGGGAAGGGAGAGUAAAAGCCAUCAGUGACUCAGAUGGGGUGAGCUACCCUUGGUACGGGAACACCACAGAAACUGUGACCCUGGUUGGCCCCACCAACAAGAUCUCCAGGUUCUCCGUCAGCAUGAAUGACAACUUCUACCCCAGUGUGACGUGGGCGGUGCCUGUGAGUGACAACAACGUGCCACUGCUCACAAGAAUCAAGAGGGACCAAAGUUUCACGACCUGGCUGGUGGCCAUGAAUACCACCACCAAGGAGAAGAUUAUUCUGCAGACCAUCAAGUGGAGGAUGAGGGUGGACAUUGAGGUGGACCCUCUUCAGCUGCUGGGGCAGCGGGCCCGGCUGGUGGGCAGGACUCAGCAGGAGCAGCCCCGGAUUCUGAGCCGGAUGGAGCCCAUCCCCCCGAACGCACUGGUCAAACCCAAUGCCAACGAUGCCCAGGUCCUUAUGUGGAGGCCCAAGCGAGGGCCACCUCUGGUUGUGAUCCCUCCUAAGUAGAAGCAGACUGGCCUGACUGUGUGGAGCACAUGCCCCCGAGACACGCAGUGAGGGUGCCAGGGGUGCCAGGAGCCAAACUGAGUUUCUGAGCCAAAGCAGACCUCUUGGUUUGCCAGCCUUUGCAGCCACUUGUGAGGAGAAGGGCUGCUCCUUGGGUGGUAGAACCACAAUCCUUAGGAAAAGUUUCUUCCUCUUAGGAAUAAAGAAAUCACUGAUUUGACAGACUUGCCGUGAUUACCAUGCAAGUAGCCAUAUUUUGGAGCUGACCAGGAUGAUUCUUUUAUCUGAACUAUUGACCAUUUCUUUCCUGUGAGAUGCAGGGGAUGGAAACAAAAUGAAACAGUGCCUGUGGCAAAUGCUGCUUCCCAACCAAUUAGAAGAAGGAGUGAAAACAUCCACACCAGGUCUCCCAGUAGGACAAGGCAAGCCCAGCAAGCAGAACCACAUGGCAGAGACUAAGAAGGACGAAAUGAGCAAUGGCUGGCGGCUCCAGAAGCUGAAGCCCUGGACAGCUGAGUUCCCAUUAAAACGAGUGCCACCGUCCUGCCUGUGUCCUCGCCAUCCUCCCGGCCACGACCAGUACCUCCCACCCUCCUCCGUGUGCCACGCGGCACUCACCGUGGGCUGACCGGGCUGCCCGCUUGGCUCAUGGGGAGCCAUGUUGAAGUGGGAGUGGUGCCUGCUGUAUCUUUUUGUGCGUGGAAAGAUGGGGUUCAUUCAGAUCUCCAGUCCAUCCCCGACCCUCGAAGGGAAGCCUCCCAGGGAUGAAGAGCUUGGUCAGCCUGGACUUCAGAUACCUAACAUGGCCCCACCUUGGUUCCCAAACUCUGCCUUCCCUCUCUGCACUUUUGGGUGGGAAACAGAGGGAAUUGUGUAUCUCCCCUCUUAUUCCCUUCUCCACGUGGGCGGCCAGUGUUGACACUCCCUGAUGGUUUCUCAAAGGUCUCUGAUCCUUGGAGAGCCAGGGCCAAAGCAGUCCUCUUUCCCCUCCCUCAUCCAGGCUGCGUGCCUUCAGGUGACCAAGAGCAGAGUGAAUGUCCCCAGAUCAGCGGGGUGGGGGGGGAGGACCACCCUAAGAGGGCAAAAAUGGUGUGCGUUGUUUUAUGUAUUAGUUUAUUUAUUGGCUUGCUUACUGAUUUAUUUAUUUAUGAAAUAAGUAUUCAUUAGACAACAGAAAAUCCGCUUCCAGUUUUGAAGCAUCAGCCCCAGAAUUUGUCUUCUUGGCCCCAUAGAGCACAGUGAAUCAUUCCCCGUAGAAGCCACAGAAGAAAGGGGGAGAACUCUCUCCCUGUGCCUAAACACCUCCAUCCCAGCCAGAUUUUCAACCACAAAUGGGAUUAGAAACCACCAGCCAGUGAGGCCGUAAAGCCACACAAUCAGUAGAGGCUCGACUGUCCAGACAGAAGCUGUCAGAAUCCUGCCCCGCCCACGCCCUCCUGCCCGCCCUCCCCUCCUCCUCCUCCUCCCUCCAGCGGGCUGCAGCCUGACCGUUCGGAGCAGGACUUCUCAUUCCACUCUGGCACGAUAUUCUUAACACAAGAUGCACCUUAGAAUCUUCUGAGGAGCUUCAAAAUAUCUGUGCCUGGUCCUCUCCCCAAACCAAUUACAGCAGAAUCGUUAAGGGUAGCGCAUAGGCAUGGCUGUUUUUCAAGUUACCCAGGUGACUGCAAUGUGAAAAUAGGGUUGAGAAGUGCUUCUAGUGUCUUCUUUCCUCUGCCUCUCCCCACUGCCCAGACCCCCGCAUCCAUUAGUGCCCACGCCUCCUCUGGAGUCCUGUUCCCAUUCCUCCAGCCCCUCCUCCCCACCGAACUUCCCCAUCAGCUCAACCCACCCGAGCAGAUCCCUGGAGGGGCGGCAGGUCCCAUGAGUCAUACCCUGAGGCUGGCACCUGCACUGAGCUUGGAGGCUGGUCCUAGAUGAUUUCCAGCUUUGCUUAGUGCAGGAACCUGUCCCCUGCCAGAUUUUCUGUCCACCUGCCCCUCCUCUAGUCUCCCAGACUCCAAAAGUUUAAAGGGUACUUCAAUAACAUUCUGGUCUCCAAGUCCCCAUACUGAUGGUAAUGUCUGUGCCAAUCUUUCUAACGCAAGCCUUGGCCAUUUCUGCAGAGCCACCUGAGUUGAGUGAGGGUCUACUGGUAACAGAGGAAGGGGUCACAAUGCCCUCAAGCCAGUCCUUUCCCCAACAACCUGGCAGCAGCCACUCUGCAUCCAAAUCCUCGAUGGCUGAGAAGAGACAUCUCACCCUUGACACUUACGAGAUCUCCACUGCGGAGUGUGAGUAAAUGUGUGUGAGUGUGUGUGCGCAUGUGCACACGCUACCUACAUACAAACCGUCUAGAUCUAUAGCCAUGCUAGACUUUACAUAUAAUUGCAUUUUAUAUGAAAACAAUCGAGGACUUUCGUUGUCUUUCACUCAGUGCAGUUUCACAUUCAUCAUGGGCCCAAGUGAAUUCUGAAUUAGGAAUAUACGCAGAAUGUUGUAAUAGAUGCAAACUGUCACACACACACACACACACACACAGCCCUAGGGAAACCUGUGACGUGGGACGUGUUCACAUUGCUCUCCCACCUCCCCGAUGUAAGUGGUUUCCCAGGGAAAGUAUUACUACUUCACACACUCCCCGCAGCUGCCCGGCCACUGACCCCACAUCCCAUAUGCCACUAGCCUUCUCUCCCCAGAAUGUCCCUGCCCUAUGUCCCAUCUCUCAGGGUCCUAUUCUCUGAUAGGUGACAGUUCAGUCAGUGGGUGCUAAAGAGUCGAGUGUUACCCUUCCCAGGUGACCGUUUACGUUUUAACAGGGGCUAUAGAUAAUGCCUUAAUCUGAAGGAGUGGCUCUAGUGGUGGGAAUUUCAGGCACAGAAGUGGGCCAGGAAGGGAGAUUACUUUUUAUCAGGAGGACAUUAUAGAGCCCCUGGUCAUGCCUGUCUCUAAGAUCAGCCCUUCAUACGUGCACGAGCACGAGCAAGCACACUUACCUAUGUACACCUUCCAUUAUUGUCACACACCUCCCUUACAUUGGCCCUAUCUUUAAAAAUGAAAAACAAACAAACAAACAAACAAAAAGGAACCAGCUAAAUUAAUUCAAACCUCACUGGGAAAUGUAGCCUAUUUUUUUGCCGGCUGCCAGCCAUCUGGCCCACCCCACCCUGUUGAAUUUCCCUUCUGCUACGAACAUAUCAGUUCAUUUCCUGGUACGUGUCCCCUCUGCUCUCCCCCGAACCCCCUCCCGCGAUGUAUUUCCUCCGUUUACUGUUUCCCCCUUUGGAAUUGUGCUGUCUUUUGGUGUCGUCCAGAACAGAAGAGCAGGUUAAGAGCAUGAGCAUGUGUGUAUCACUUUGAAGAAAGAGAAACCAGGUAUUCUGCUACAGAUCGGAGAAAAACCCAACGAAGGAAGAGGCGAAAGCUGGCUCUGCAGAGUGCCUUAAAAAUGACUUUAAUUAGGAAAUUCUGAGUCGUCAGUCUUUGGAUGUUACAUAAACUCAAACAGAUGUUGCAUUUCACUUCUCUGGGAUUAAAAAAAAAAGUUAAAUACAGUAUGUAUUGAACAACAACAA